UACGAAGGGGGGCUAGCGUUGCUCGGAAUCACUGGGCGUAAAGCGCACGUAGGCGGUUUGCUAAGUCAGGGGUGAAAUCCUGGAGCUCAACUCCAGAACUGCCUUUGAUACUGGCGGACUUGAGUCCGGGAGAGGUGAGUGGAACUGCGAGUGUAGAGGUGAAAUUCGUAGAUAUUCGCAAGAACACCAGUGGCGAAGGCGGCUCACUGGCCCGGUACUGACGCUGAGGUGCGAAAGCGUGGGGAGCAAACAGG
rnacentral:rRNA from 1 species